GGAGCAACAGGUUCUGGAGCGUUCCGCUGUUUGUAGAUAUAAAUAUACAGCUUAUAGAGAAACACAUGAGGCUGGUGACAGUAGGUUAUUAUUAUUCCAGCCGGUCCUGUUCUGGUCCAGAACCAGCUCAGUUGGGCUCCUGCUCUCCUCCCUGUUGAUGAUCCUUUAACAUCAGAGCAGCGAGUGCUGGAAGCAAAGGGACGACAUCCAACACAUGGAACUGGUUCUGGGCGCUGAACGAAUGUUCUGGACCACGUCUCUGCCUGAAGCUCAGAGCGACGGAGGCCGUGCAGCGCAUUUCCACGUCUCUACAGGCUCCGUCGGACUCACCUGUGGCUCGGCUGGAAACACGCUUUCUGUGCAGCUAAUGGAAACAUGCGUAAAACCAGUGACAUCAUUACAGUAACGCCAGGAGGAGUCAGCGGUUUAAGCUUUUUUACUGACUGGACCUCUUGAAAUGAUGAAUUGCCAUGAGUUUCAGUGAGUCUAUGGAUUUUUCUCUUUGCUCUGUGGUUAAUGUUUUCAGUUCUCUCCACAUCUCCCUUCAGUGCUGAGAUGGACCGAACACUUUGACACAGUCUUUCACACACUUGACCCCUGACCUCACGGUGCCCCUCUGCUUCCAGACUGAUGUUUACACCCGCCUGCACCUUAAUGAAAGGCGGCUUUCAGCAAAGUGCAUCACCGUGACCCUGACAGCGUGUCCACUCGGAACAUUCCUCCCCUUGUUUGCUAGAGGUCAAUGUUUGUAUUAGCGGAAAUCAGCGCUGAGCGUUAAAAUAAUCAAACCGCGCAGAGACUCCAAAAAGCAGAACUGCAGGCGGAGCACAGAGAUCAGCGACAGAACCUCACCUUCAGGCCCUGCUCGACUCAGACUUGUGUGUUGCCCAAGGACACGUUGACACGUGGGCCGGAGGAGCUGCAGAUCGAACUGCCAACCGCGCUUCAUUUCCUGAGCCGCCCCCGCGAGAGGCCGGCGGCUCACUAUUCCACAGAACCUCCCAUUAAACUGUCUUUCAAGGAGACGAACUGGACACGAGGCAAAUGGGGUGCGAGGAGGCAGAGAAACGGCAGAGAAACCGAGCCGCUCCAGAAUUCAUCCAGUGAGAGGCGUUCAGGGACCAGCGAGGACCGACACAGGAGCCGUUGAGCUAAGCUGAUGCUAACAGCUGGUGGCUAACUGUCAAAAUCAAUG
rnacentral:lncRNA from 1 species